UCCACAUGGGCCAGGCCCAAUGAAACCUGCAGAUCGAAUCCACCCGCUCCACUGCUCGACCUCCCCCAAAUGCAUCGAUUCAGGCUUCAUCCCCGCCGCCGCCGAAUCCACCUACCCCUGCUCGAUCUCCCCAAAAUUCAUCUAUUCGAUCUUCAACCCGUUGAUCUGGCGUCCGCCCCGCCCAUCUGCGUCCGCAUCUUCGAUCCGGUCGGCGUAGAGGAGUCCCUCUGGCGCGCUGCACCAAGCACGUGGCUGCACCGGCGCGCUCCUCUCCAACGCAGCGCGUGCACCCGCACCGAAGGCGAGAGGGAUGCGGCGCCCGGCGAACGGAUGACCAGAUCGCCGGCUUGACAAAAGCUAAUCGACUGGCCGGUUUUUCUUCUCAACGAGAUGGGGAAUGCUUUGAUCGCCGUUCCACUCCUCAAAAUCCAACGAAAAGACGACCCGUCCACCGCCGGUCGAUGACCCCUGCAGCCUACAGCCCGCGAUUCAGCCUCCUACCAGCCUUCAAGCAUCCGUCAAGGCAACAAACCAAUCAGCGGCUCUGGCCUACAUCAUCAGUUAGGACGAGAGGGGAAGAGGCACACGAUCUAUACAGGUGGACAGAAAUUCUACAUAUACGUCACAAGAGGAAUCUUCAAGAAAAGCCAUCAGGGGAUAAGAAAGGUUCAGACUAAUUGAUGCCCUUCAGCCUCCAAGGCUGACUUUGAAAAUUUACCUUUGAUACACAUGCUCGCAGAAAGCAUAUUUCAUUAAUACGUAGUGAUGCAUAUGGCUGUUAGGAUGGCAUUAUUGUGUUUACAAGACAUAAUUUCAGUGUUGUUCUAGCCUAUUUUUGAUUCUUUGCAUUUUCAUGCACAUCUUGUUGUACGACAGGAAGAAGGUUUGCGUGUGCUCCAUCUUCUCAAGUAAAGGAGUGCUGGAUUUAAUGCCAGGGCUAGAUAAACUGGCAGGGUCGUUUCUCAUGGAGUUGUACUCAUUGCACUCACCUGGUAUGUUCAUUUUGGAUAUUUAUUAAGCAUUCUAUAAUUUUGUUGUAUGUGUAAGUUUACCAGUCUCAACCAACGUCUAACAUUUUGGUAUGAUAAAUGGAUUUAUAUAUUUUAUGAUGAAAUGGAUAGAAUUUUAUUUUAUUUGAAAGGCUGAUUACAUGCUGCUUUCUGGUUAGAUUUACUAUUUUCCCAAUGAGGGUUAUUGGUAUAAUUGUUUAGAACUCAAGAUAGUAGCGUAUGUACCAGAUAGAUGUUUUCUGGUGGGUAAGCAUAUGACUAGCACAAAUUAUUGAUGUUCCCUUUUUCUAUUAAAAUCUGUGUGUCAAACAUUGUAUUGUUCAGUAGAGUUUAUCUCAUGCUUCAAUUUAGUCUAUGGUGCAUCUUGUUUAGUCAGAAUGGUACACCAAACUUAAGGGAAAGGAUAUUGUAUUUUAAGCAAUAUUAGAUUGGAAGUUAGAUACUCGAGUUAUAGUAUACUAGCAGAAGUGCUCAUGCAUUGCACUGGGAAAGACAAAUACUCAAACACUCAUGCAGUCAUGCCUCUUCUAUUUGUUACCAUUGUCGAUGGUGGUCACAUUUUCUCUUAUUCAUGAUAAAAAUAAUUAUGCAUAAUAAAAUCAGAUUGCAAACCCUUCACUGCACUAACUUGUAAUAAUGGUGGGCUCCAUCCUUAAUUUUUAUUAGUAAGAUACAAAUUUAAAACAAUUGAACGUUAGUACACAUAAUAUUAUGGUCGUCUUCUUGCUGGUACGACUCUUGUUCACAGGAGGUAUGGGGGCGGCGGUUAGCUCGAGCGGUUUGAACAUUGUCUCUACCUCUUCCUUCUCUCGUCAAAUGGGAUACUCUUCGUGCACCGACAGUUUGCCUGUCCGCGAGCUUAACUCAAGGUGUUGUUCAUAGGCAAUGCUUGAACCAUAUGUUGGCUUCAAGGUUGCAAUAAGAAGAAAUUGAUGAAGGAUAUCAAGUGUCAAGUAUGUCUUGAAGAUGAAGAUGAAGUGAGCCCUCAAGUUACUUCAAGACAUCAACAUGAAGAAAUGAAGUGCAAGUUCAAGAUGAGCCAACUCGAAGAGAUCAUAUGCUUGAAGCUUGCCAUGAAGAAAUAAAGUGCAAGUUCAAGAUGAGCCAUCUCGAAGAGAUCCUUUGCUUGACUCUUGCCAUCCAUAUGGUGAUCAUGGAUAUGUGAAGAUGCGCCAAAGAAGAAGCUCUCCCAUGAUGGAUUAUGGGGGAGCAAUCCACAAGACUUCGUCAAGCAAGCACAAUCAAGAAAGGCGUUCCAUCUUGUUGAGGUCAAGAUCGUCAUCAUCGAGUUCAAGUGGAAUGCGCAAGUAUAAGGUUUGCUCUUGAUAGGGUUUCUUUCUCACCGAUCUCAUAGUGUAGUUGGAGACCGGUUUAUAGUUUAGUUGCCGUACUAUCAAGAGGGCUCUCGAGUGAGUAACUCGAUCGUAUCGUUCGGAGAGAGCUCAAACCUUUGCAUCCUUGCAUCAUCUUUCUUGGUUGUUAUUUGGAUCUUAUCCAUGUGAUGUUUUAGAGCUUGUGCUUAUUCUCAUGACAAGCUCUAGUUCAUCAUGAAUGGUUUUUGCACGGGCUACUUGUUGCAUUUUCAAGGUUGGAGGUUUUACCGGUAUGUCUUUUUUAGAUAGGUCAAACCUUUCGUCAUUUAUUUCUAUCCUACCUUGCUGGACUAUGAUGGUUCCCUGCAUGAUCUUGUAGAGCUUGUUACUAGCUUUGAAACAAGCCCAAGAUCAUCAAAAUCGGAGUCCGGAUGCUCAAGUUAUGAUCAUUCUCGUUUUGGUGUUUCUGCAGUUUUCAGGGGGGGCGGAUAUUCCGGCCCAAGUUUGGGGCGGAUAAUCCGGCCCCCCGGAAAAAUCCGGUUUUUGGACAAAUCCGGGCAAAUAUCCGGCCAAAUGUCCGGCCCCCAUCCUGAGAGCAGUUUUCUCAUGUCCUUAGCCGUUUUUUGGGGCCCGGAUAUUUUGCAAAUAUCCGGCCCGGAAAAUCCGGCCUGAGCACACCCAAACGGUCAUAUUUCGAUGGGAGGGGGUAUUUAAGCCCCCCUUCUUCCUCCUUGGGCAGCUAACUCUUCCCCCAAGUGCUCUCCACCAUUGUUGACCUUGAGAGCUUCUCUUUCCCUCUACUCCACCUAUGCUUCUUGAAUCUAUUUGAGGGAAAAGGAAGAGGAGAUCUAGAUCUACAUUCCUACCAAUCAAAUCCCUCUCUUUGUGAGGGGAAUCCACUAGAUCUAGAUCUUGGAGAAAUUUGGUGUUCCUCCUCUUAUUUGUUCUUCCUC